rnacentral:rRNA from 1 species
UACGUAGGGUGCGAGCGUUGUCCGGAAUUACUGGGCGUAAAGAGCUCGUAGGCGGUUUGUCGCGUCGUUCGUGAAAACUUGAUGCUUAACAUCAAGCGUGCGGGCGAUACGGGCAGACUUGAGUACUACAGGGGAGACUGGAAUUCCUGGUGUAGCGGUGGAAUACGCAGAUAUCAGGAGGAACACCGGUGGCGAAGGCGGGUCUCUGGGCAGUAACUGACGCUGAGGAGCGAAAGCGUGGGGAGCGAACAGG